rnacentral:rRNA from 1 species
UGGUCAAGUUAUUAAGGGUGCAGGGCGGAUGCCUUGGCACUAGGAGCCGAUGAAGGACGUGAUAAGCUGCGAUAAGCUUCGGGGAGUUGCACGUAAACUUUGAUCCGAAGAUUUCCGAAUGAGGAAACUCACUUAGAGUAAUGUCUAAGUAUCAUUAAGUGAAUACAUAGCUUAAUGAGGGGAACUCAGGGAACUGAAACAUCUAAGUACCUGAAGGAAGAGAAAGAAAUUCGAUUCCGUAAGUAGCGGCGAGCGAACGCGGAUUAGCCCAAACCAAUAAAGUUUUCUUUAUUGGGGUUGCGGACAUAUCAUAACGAAGAGGUAUCGUAAUUGAAGAGGUUUGGAAAGACCCACCACAGAAGGUAAUAGUCCUGUAUGUUAAACGAGAAGACUUUAGAUAUGAUCCAGAGUACCACGGGACACGUGAAACCCUGUGGGAAGCAGGAGGGACCACCCUCCAAGGCUAAAUACUACCUAGU